GAUGAACGCUGGCGGCGUGCCUAAUACAUGCAAGUCGAGCGAACAGACGAGGAGCUUGCUCCUCUGACGUUAGCGGCGGACGGGUGAGUAACACGUGGAUAACCUACCUAUAAGACUGGGAUAACUUCGGGAAACCGGAGCUAAUACCGGAUAAUAUAUUGAACCGCAUGGUUCAAUAGUGAAAGACGGUUUUGCUGUCACUUAUGGAUGGAUCCGCGCCGCAUUAGCUAGUUGGUAAGGUAACGGCUUACCAAGGCAACGAUGCGUAGCCGACCUGAGAGGGUGAUAGGCCACACGGGAACUGAGACACGGUCAAGAAUACUAAGGGAGGCAGCAGUAGGGAAUCUUCCGCAAUGGGCGAAAGCCUGACGGAGCAACGCCGAGUGAGUGAUGAAGGUCUUCGGAUCGUAAAACUCUGUUAUUAGGGAAGAACAAAUGUGUAAGUAACUAUGCACGUCUUGACGGUACCUAAUCAGAAAGCCACGGCUAACUACGUG
rnacentral:rRNA from 1 species